GCAGGUAGAAGCCUAACAGUUGCAUACAAAGACCUCAAAAGUAAUACUGAUUUCUUAUACAUCAUAUGCAAAGUAUUGCUUGAUCUUCUGCUGCCCGAACAGUUAUCCCUUAACCUCCUACUCUCAUAUUGCACUAUCCACCUCUCUAUAAUUUUUUCAGUCUUAGCCUCACAUCCUAAUUCUUCCUGAUCAGAAUUCCAACUAAAAGGACACCGCUCCUUUGAGGAAAUAUUCCUACCAAAAUCCUUUUUUGGGGAACAAUUUACAGGGUCCCAAACAAGUGGUCUCUGCACCAAAAUCACAUCAAUAACCAUUGGUUCUAGAUUGCUCUGGCGCCAGAUAUCAGGAUUCUCAAGAGCA
rnacentral:misc_RNA from 1 species